rnacentral:rRNA from 1 species
UACGGAGGAUGCGAGCGUUAUCCGGAUUUAUUGGGUUUAAAGGGCGCGUAGGCGGAUCGUUAAGUCAGUGGUCAAAUUGAGGGGCUCAACCCCUUCCCGCCAUUGAAACUGGCGAUCUUGAGUGGAAGAGAAGUAUGCGGAAUGCGUGGUGUAGCGGUGAAAUGCAUAGAUAUCACGCAGAACCCCGAUUGCGAAGGCAGCAUGCCGGCUUCCUACUGACGCUGAAGCACGAAAGCGUGGGGAUCGAACAGG